CAGUCGCCACGGGAAUACGGAGGGCGCGAGCGUUACCCGGAUUUACUGGGCGUAAAGGGCGUGUAGGCGGCCUGGGGCGUCCCAUGUGAAAGGCCACGGCUCAACCGUGGAGGAGCGUGGGAUACGCUCUGGCUAGAGGGUGGGAGAGGGUGGUGGAAUUCCCGGAGUAGCGGUGAAAUGCGCAGAUACCGGGAGGAACGCCGAUGGCGAAGGCAGCCACCUGGUCCACUUCUGACGCUGAGGCGCGAAAGCGUGGGGAGCAAACCGGAUUAGAUACCCGCGUAGUCCCUGUCUCUUAUAC
rnacentral:rRNA from 1 species